rnacentral:rRNA from 1 species
GUACACUCCUGCGGGAGGCAGCAGUGGGGAAUUUUGGACAAUGGGCGAAAGCCUGAUCCAGCAAUGCCGCGUGCAGGAUGAAGGCCUUCGGGUUGUAAACUGCUUUUGUACGGAACGAAAAAGCUCCUUCUAAUACAGGGGGCCCAUGACGGUACCGUAAGAAUAAGCCCCGGCUAACUACGUGCCAGCAGCCGCGGUAAUACGUAGGGUGCGAGCGUUAAUCGGAAUUACUGGGCGUAAAGCGUGCGCAGGCGGUUAUGUAAGACAGAUGUGAAAUCCCCGGGCUCAACCUGGGAACUGCAUUUGUGACUGCAUGGCUAGAGUACGGUAGAGGGGGAUGGAAUUCCGCGUGUAGCAGUGAAAUGCGUAGAUAUGCGGAGGAACACCGAUGGCGAAGGCAAUCCCCUGGACCUGUACUGACGCUCAUGCACGAAAGCGUGGGGAGCAAACAGGAUUAGAAACCCCGGUAGUCCCAUGA